rnacentral:lncRNA from 1 species
GAAUCAUAAAUAUUACACCAUAACCACUGCUAACAGAUCCCAAACAUCAAAACAUCAAAAACUUUUCACUUUGACAGUACUGAAGUUGCAUCAUAAACAAUAGCAAAAUAAUUCAUCAUCAACUUCAUGGUUAGUUAAGAUUACCACCAAUAAACAAGUAGGAACCAAUCAACAAAGUAUGAAGUUAUCGGGAAAAUGAUGACAGUAGAGAAAGGUAUUGGAAAAGCAUAAAUAAUUGAUUUUCGUAGCAUCAGCUAUCACGGCUCUGACAUUCACAUUUCACAGAAUAACAUUGUUUCAUAAUUGACUUAACAUAGGUUCAUGCUUUUAUUGUUUUAGAAUUGACUUAACAUAGGUUCUUGCUUCGAUAUUUAGACUUCGAAUAAGAACACUAACAUUUCCAUUAAGACAAGCAGAAUGAUAGUGCUUUUAAUUAACAUGUACUGAAACCUUUGCAUAUAAAAUAUUCAAAGGAGCAUGUGUCAACUGCACAUACCAGCAGACUGUCAAGUUGAGAGAAAGUCGUAUCCCAAAUUAACCAAACCAUUGAAACUGAAAGAAUAAGCAAAAAGACAAGACUUGCAAAUUCAUUUGCAAUUCUGCAUGCCAAACA